UACGUAGGGGGGCAAGCGUUGUCCGGAUUUACUGGGCGUAAAGCGCGUGUAGGCGGCCACGCAGGUCCGUUGUGAAACUAAGAGGCUCAACCUCUAGACGUCGACGGAAACCGUGUGGCUAGAGUCCGGAAGAGGAGAGUGGAAUUCCUGGUGUAGCGGUGAAAUGCGCAGAUAUCAGGAAGAACACCAAUGGCGAAGGCAGCUCUCUGGGACGGUACUGACGCUGAGACGCGAAAGCGUGGGGAGCGAACAGG
rnacentral:rRNA from 1 species